rnacentral:rRNA from 1 species
UACGUAGGGGGCAAGCGUUGUCCGGAUUUAUUGGGCGUAAAGAGCGUGUAGGCGGUUUGGUAGGUCCGCUGUGAAAACUCGAGGCUCAACCUCGAGACGCCGGUGGAAACCAUCAGACUAGAGUCCGGAAGAGGAGAGUGGAAUUCCUGGUGUAGCGGUGAAAUGCGCAGAUAUCAGGAAGAACACCCGUGGCUAAGGCGGCUCUCUAGUACGGUACUGACGCUGAGACGCGGAAGCGUGGGGAGCGAACAGG